UGAUCACCGUGGAACGGGAAAGUAAAGGGAGCAGGAUCUGUGCAGAGAGUCCGGGAAAGGUGUAAUCCGGGCCAGGACCGUCCUUUGAAAAUCACCCGGGAGGUGCCUUUGCCCAAACCGGAAGGGGAGUAGGCAGGGCCGGCCGCACCGCCGUUACGGGUGUUUCGAGUGUCAGGAGAUUUCCUGUUCAUGAGGGUGGUACCGCGGGUAAUUAACUCGUCCCUUUU
rnacentral:ncRNA from 1 species